rnacentral:rRNA from 1 species
GACGAACGCUGGCGGCGUGCUUAACACAUGCAAGUCGAACGGAAAGUCCCUGCUUUUGUGGCGUGCUCGUGUGGCGCACGUUUGAGUCACCCCUGGGUAACCUGCCCUUAACUUUGGAAUACCUUCAGGAAACCGUGGCCACUAGCGCAUAAGAGCUCCUGCUCCAUAGUGGUGGUUCGCAACUUUCGGCGUUUGGGGAUGGACUCGCGGCUUAUCAGCUUGUUGGUGGGGUAGUGGCUUACCAGGGCUUUGACGGGUAGCCGGCCUGAGAGGGUGACCGGCGGCAUUGGGACUGAGAUACGGCGCAGAAUCCUACGGGAGGAAGCAGUGGGGAAUAUUGCACAAUGGGCGGAAGCAUGAUGAAGCAACGCCGCGUGCGGGAUGAAGGCCUUCGAGUUGUAAACCGCUUUCGCUUGUGACGAAGAGUGAGUGACGGUAAUGGGUAAAGAAGCACCGGCUAACUAUGUG